rnacentral:rRNA from 1 species
UGGGGACGAACCAAGACGGUACCCACAGAAGAAGCCCCGGCCAACUACGUGCCAGCAGCCGCGGUAACACGUAGGGGGCAAGCGUUGUCCGGAUUCAUUGGGCGUAAAGAGCUCGUAGGCGGUUCGAUAAGUCGGGUGUGAAACCUCCAGGCUCAACCUGGAGACGCCACCCGAUACUGUCGUGACUAGAGUCCAGUAGGGGAGCGUGGAAUUCCUGGUGUAGCGGUGAAAUGCGCAGAUAUCAGGAGGAACACCAGCGGCGAAGGCGGCGCUCUGGGCUGGAACUGACGCUGAGGAGCGAAAGCGUGGGGAGCGAACAGGAUUAGAUACCCCAGUAGUCCCUGAGCGGGCUGGCAAGGCGCAU